rnacentral:rRNA from 1 species
CUGGCUCAGGACGAACGCUGGCGGCGUGCUCAUACAUGCAAGUCGAACGAGAAGCAGUCUUCGGACUGUGGAAAGUGGCGGACGGGUGAGUAAAAUGUAGAGAAUCUGCCCUAGAGUGGGGGAUAGCAGUUGGAAACGACUAUUAAUACCCCAUAUGAGCGUACUUGAGAUAGUAUUCUUGAAAACUCCGGUGCUCUAGGAUGAGUCUGCAUCUGAUUAGCUAGUAGGCGGUGUAAUGGACCACCCAGGCGACGAUCAGUAGCUGGUUUGAGAGGAUGAUCAGCCACAAUGGGACUGAGACACGGCCCAUACUCCUACGGGAGGCAGCAGUAGGGAAUUUUGCGCAAUGGGGGAAACCCUGACGCAGCAACGCCGCGUGAAUGAAGAAGCCCUUCGGGGUGUAAAGUUCUGUCAGUGGGGACGAAACUUGACGGUACCCACAGAGGAAGCAUCGGCUAACUCCGUGCCAGCCGCCGC